rfam:Anolis carolinensis chromosome 4, whole genome shotgun sequence.
CUCUGUGCCCAUAUUUAUAUGGAUUCAUAAAUAACCACCAGAACCUGUCUGAUCUUGGAAGCUAAGCAGGAUCAGCUCUGGUUAGUACUUGGAUGGGAGACUGGCCAAUGAAGACCAAGGGUUGUAGUCU